CACGUAGGGUGCGAGCGUUGUCCGGGAUUAUUGGGCGUAAAGAGCUCGUAGGCGGUGUGUCGCGUCGGCCGUGAAAACCUGCAGCUUAACUGUGGGCUUGCGGUCGAUACGGGCAUCACUGGAGUUCGGCAGGGGAGACUGGAAUUCCUGGUGUAGCGGUGAAAUGCGCAGAUAUCAGGAGGAACACCGGUGGCGAAGGCGGGUCUCUGGGCCGAUACUGACGCUGAGGAGCGAAAGCGUGGGGAGCGAACAGG
rnacentral:rRNA from 1 species